rnacentral:rRNA from 1 species
AUUGAACGCUGGCGGCAUGCCUUACACAUGCAAGUCGAACGGCAGCACGGGAGCUUGCUCCUGGUGGCGAGUGGCGAACGGGUGAGUAAUACAUCGGAACGUACCCUGAAGUGGGGGAUAACGUAGCGAAAGUUACGCUAAUACCGCAUAUUCUGUGAGCAGGAAAGAGGGGGAUCGCAAGACCUCUUGCUUUAGGAGCGGCCGAUGUCGGAUUAGCUAGUUGGUGAGGUAAAGGCUCACCAAGGCGACGAUCCGUAGCGGGUCUGAGAGGAUGAUCCGCCACACUGGGACUGAGACACGGCCCAGACUCCUACGGGAGGCAGCAGUGGGGAAUCUUGCGCAAUGGGCGAAAGCCUGACGCAGCAACGCCGCGUGCGGGAUGACGGCCUUCGUGGUUGUAAACCGCUUUCAGCAGGGACGAAAAUAGACGGUACCUGCAGAAGAAGCCCGGCGUAACUACGUCGCCAGCAGCCGCGGU